rnacentral:rRNA from 1 species
UACGGAGGGUGCAAGCGUUAUCCGGAUUCACUGGGUUUAAAGGGUGCGUAGGCGGGCAGGUAAGUCAGUGGUGAAAUCUCCGAGCUUAACUCGGAAACUGCCUUUGAUACUAUCUGUCUUGAAUAUGGUGGAGGUAAGCGGAAUAUGUCAUGUAGCGGUGAAAUGCUUAGAGAUGACAUAGAACACCUAUUGCGAAGGCAGCUUACUACGCCUAUAUUGACGCUGAGGCACGAAAGCGUGGGGGAGUCAAACAGGA